rnacentral:rRNA from 1 species
CGAGUGGCGGACGGGUGAGUAAUGUCUGGGAAACUGCCUGAUGGAGGGGGAUAACUACUGGAAACGGUAGCUAAUACCGCAUAACGUCGCAAGACCAAAGAGGGGGACCUUCGGGCCUCUUGCCAUCGGAUGUGCCCAGAUGGGAUUAGCUAGUAGGUGGGGUAACGGCCCACCUAGGCGACGAUCCCUAGCUGGUCUGAGAGGAUGACCAGCCACACUGGAACUGAGACACGGUCCAG